ACAGCUUUGGACAAAAGUCCACAGCCAGUGUGUUCCAAGCCCCUGCACAGGGCUGGCUGUAGCAGGGGACAUUCUCCUGCUGGCUCUCUCUGUCCACACUUAGCUGGCUCCUGUGCUCAGGUGCACGGCCACACCCUUGCACCCAGUCUUGAGCCUCUUAAUGGCGAAAGUCCCAGGACUUGUCAGCUGGGACAGGCCUCACCCCCAAGAGCUCU
rnacentral:lncRNA from 1 species